ACAGAGUGUCAUUGCUCAAUUUGGUUUGAUGCAGGUGAAAGAACUGACCAGACUUUGAGUUUCUCUCUCACUCCAAGGUUUUUAGCUUCUUUCCACAGUGCUAGAAGGUAUGAAUAUGGAGAGCCAGUUAGCAUCAAAGUGCAGUUAGGCUGGGCCUGGUGGUGUGUGCCUGUAGUCUCAUCUAGUUGGGAGGUUGAGGCAGAACAAUCGCUUGAGGCCCCCUCCCCAUUUUUUCCAGCCUCCUUGCCGCAAUGCCUAUGCGCAUGUCCGUAAUCCCAACUACUUGGGAGGCUGAGGCAGGAGAAUUGCUUGAGCCCAGGAGGUGGAGGUUGCAGUGAGCUGAGAUGGCACUACUGCCCUCUAGCCUGGGUGACAGAGAGAGAGAGACUGUCUCAAAAACAACAACAACAAGAAAGUCACCGUAGAAUUACAGAGAUGUGUAUGACCAGUGUCUUAGUCCAUUCCAGCUGCCGUAACAAAAUACCUUAGACCAGGUAAUUUAUAAACUACAGAAAUUUAUUGCUCACAGCUCUGGAGGCUUGGAAGUCCAAAAUUAAGGCAUCAGCACAUUCAGUGCCUGGUGAGGGCCUGGACUUCAUAGAUGGCUCUUUCUAUGUGUCCCACAUGGCAGCAGGGUAAGGGAGACAAGCCUCUUUUAUAAGGGCAUUAAUCCCAUUCAUGAGCCCUUAUGAUCUCAUCACCUCCCAAGGAUACUUUCUCUUGAUAUUUUCAUAGUGAUGAUAAAGUUUCAACACAUCAAACAGCAACAUUAAGACCACAGCAAUUGGUCUAUGCAAUUUAGGCAUGUGUAUUUUAGCUGAAAACUUGAGAAUGGCAGCAGGAAACAAGCCAGGAAGGGACUGUGGAUCAAGAAACAGUGGGAUCCUGGGGGUAAUGGACAGGGAAAGCCCCAGGGAGGUUGUGUCUGCACCUGGUAUUGAAGGCCUGGCAGGAUGUCAAGGUGCAUGGGUAGGCAGAGAGUUGGCAGGAAGCAUAAAGAAAGGCUUGAGUUGAGAAG
rnacentral:lncRNA from 1 species